UACGGGGGGGGCAAGCGUUGUUCGGAAUUACUGGGCGUAAAGGGUUUGUAGGUGGCUUGCUAAGUCAGACGUGAAAUCCCUCAGCUUAACUGGGGAACUGCGUCUGAUACUGGCGAGCUUGAGUGCAGGAGAGGAACGCGGAAUUCCAGGUGUAGCGGUGAAAUGCGUAGAUAUCUGGAGGAACACCGGUGGCGAAGGCGGCGUUCUGGACUGCAACUGACACUGAAAAACGAAAGCCAGGGGAGCAAACGGG
rnacentral:rRNA from 1 species